GCGCGAAAACUUCGCAAUGGGGGAAACCCCGACGAGGGAAAGCCAAGUGCCAGCACAAUGUGUUGGCUGUUUUCCUGUCUAAAAAACAGGGAGAGUAAGGGCUGGGUAAGACGGGUGCCAGCCGCCGCGGUAAUACCUGCAGCCCGAGUGGUGCUCGUUAUUAUUGGGUCUAAAUCGUCCGUAGUCGGCUGAGUAGAUGCCUGGGUAAAUCGAGGCGCUUAACGUCUCGAAUUCCAGGUAGACCGCUCGGCUAGGGAUUGGGCGAGGUGCAAAGUACUCCGGGGGUAGGGGUAAAAUCCUGUAAUCCUCGGGGGACUACCAGUGGCGAAGGCGUUGCACCAGAACAAGUCCGACGAUCAGGGACGAAGCCCUGGGGCGCAAACGGG
rnacentral:rRNA from 1 species